rnacentral:lncRNA from 1 species
AUAAAUAAAACCCAUGAAACUCAAAAUCCACAAAUGAAACCAAAAAUCUACAAAUAAAAUUCAAAACCUAAAGUUUACAAAUAAAAUUCAACUCAAUCUAUUUCAUAAAUAAACUCACCAAAGCCCAAGAGCAUAAAUCCCAAAAUUACUAAAUCUAUAUCAUUCAAAUGUCUCCAACCCAAACCAAAUUUAUCUAAACAUGGGCUCCUACCAUGAAUUAAUUUCAUGAACCAAUUUCAUGAGCUUUUUAAAUGGGCCUCUAUCCUGAAUUAAUUUCACGAACUAAAAAUAGGCUUUCCAAAUGGGCCUCUAUUCACGAAUUAAUUUCAAGGACCACAAAGAUGGACAUCUAUCAUAAAUUAAUUUCAUGAACCAGUUUAAUUGGCUUUCCAAAUGGACCUCUAUCUAUGAAUUACUUCCAUGAACCACAAAGAUGGACCUCUAUCAUGAAUUAAUUUCAUGAAUCAAUUUCACGAGCUUCAAAUUCAACAUGAUCGUCAAAUCGUUAAAUUGAACAAUGACGGUUAAGUCGUUAAACUGAACAAUGACCGUCAAGUCGUUAAACUGAACAAUAGACCGUUAAGUUGUUAAACUGAACAAGUGACUGCCAAGUCGUUAAACUGAGUAAAUCAAAUUGAAGCUCAAAUUGACUGCCAAGUCAUUAAACUGAGCAAACUAAGUCCAAGUUCAAAUUGACCGCCAAAUUUUUAAACUGAGCAAACUGAGUUUAAAUUCAAAUUAACCGCCAAGUCGUUAAACCAUGCAAUCUAAAUUCAAACUCAACUCAAUUUGACAGCCAAGUCGUUAAACUGAGCAAAUUUAAUUAGUUUCAACUCAACUUGACUACCAACUCAAUAAAUUGAUGAUUUCAGUUUUACAAAAUUAAUGUAUAGUGGGGAUUGAGUAUUUCAGUUUUACAAAAUUUAUGUACAGUUGGCGUAUGCCCCUUCUUAAGCCAUGUACACAGCAAAUUAUAUUAAUAAAAUUUUAUCUUCAUGCCUCAGUCUUUUUCAUUAUAAGCGUUUGUAUUCGGUCUCUUAAUUGAGAGUUUCUUAACACUGAACGUGUCGGAUAAUUAACAACAGAUUCUUGAGUCUGUUGGAAGCCAUGAAUCCAUAAUCCUAAUUUCAAAAUAAAAUUUAAACAAAUUUAAUCUAUACCAUAAAUAACCACUCGCCUUAGAAAUAUCUGCGGCGGGGGU